rnacentral:tRNA from 1 species
GCCGAAGUGGUGGAACUGGCAUACACGCAGCACUCAAAAUGCUGUGCCCUCUGGGCUUGUGGGUUCGAAUCCCACCUUCGGUA